AGAGUUUGAUCAUGGCUCAGGAUGAACGCUAGCUACAGGCUUAACACAUGCAAGUCGGAGGGGAAACGACAGUCGAAAGUCUUGCUUUUGAUGGGCGUCGACCGGCGCACGGGUGAGUAACGCGUAUCCAACCUGCCCACCACUUGGGGAUAACCUUGACGAAAGUAAGACUAAUACCCAAUGACGUCUCUAGAAGACAUCUGAAAGAGAUUAAAGAUUUAUCGGUGAUGGAUGGGGAUGCGUCUGAUUAGCUUGUUGGCGGGGUAACGGCCCACCAAGGCAACGAUCAGUAGGGGUUCUGAGAGGAAGGUCCCCCACAUUGGAACUGAGACACGGUCCAAACUCCUACGGGAGGCAGCA
rnacentral:rRNA from 1 species